rnacentral:rRNA from 1 species
UCCCAACCCAAUGUGAACCAUUACCAAACUGUUGCCUCGGCGGGGUCACGCCCCGGGUGCGUCGCAGCCCCGGAACCAGGCGCCCGCCGGAGGGACCAACCAAACUCUUUCUGUAGUCCCCUCGCGGACGUUAUUUCUUACAGCUCUGAGCAAAAAUUCAAAAUGAAUCAAAACUUUCAACAACGGAUCUCUUGGUUCUGGCAUCGAUGAAGAACGCAGCGAAAUGCGAUAAGUAAUGUGAAUUGCAGAAUUCAGUGAAUCAUCGAAUCUUUGAACGCACAUUGCGCCCGCCAGUAUUCUGGCGGGCAUGCCUGUCCGAGCGUCAUUUCAACCCUCGAACCCCUCCGGGGGGUCGGCGUUGGGGAUCGGGAACCCCUAAGACGGGAUCCCGGCCCCGAAAUACAGUGGCGGUCUCGCCGCAGCCUCUCCUGCGCAGUAGUUUGCACAACUCGCACCGGGAGCGCGGCGCGUCCACGUCCGUAAAACACCCAACUUCUGAAAUGUUGACCUCGGAUCAGGUAGGAAUACCCGCUGAACUUAAGGCAUAUC